AUAUCAAUAAGCGGAGGAAAAGAAACUAACAAGGAUUCCCCUAGUAACUGCGAGUGAAGCGGGAAAAGCUCAAAUUUAAAAUCUGGCAGAUGCUUGUCUGUCCGAGUUGUAACCUAGAGAAGCGUUUUCCGCGCUGGACCGUGCACAAGUCUCCUGGAAUGGAGCGUCAUAGAGGGUGAGAAUCCCGUCUUUGGCACGGAUACCCCAGGGCUUUUGUGAUGCGCUCUCGAAGAGUCGAGUUGUUUGGGAAUGCAGCUCAAAAUGGGUGGUGAACUCCAUCUAAAGCUAAAUAUUGGCGAGAGACCGAUAGCGAACAAGUACCGUGAGGGAAAGAUGAAAAGCACUUUGGAAAGAGAGUGAAACAGUACGUGAAAUUGUUGAAAGGGAAACGCUUGAAGUCAGUCGCGUCGACCGAGACUCAGCCUUGCCUCGGCUUGGUGUACUUCUCGGCUGACGGGUCAGCAUCAAUUUCGCCCCUUGGAUAAUGGCGAGGGAAAUGUGACACCUUUGCGGUGUGUUAUAGUCUCUCGUCGCAUGCAAGGGUUGGGAUUGAGGAACUCAGCACGCGCCUUUGGGUGUCGGGGCUUUGCCCACGAUACGUGCUUAGGAUGUUGGCGUAAUGGCUUUAAACGA
rnacentral:rRNA from 1 species